rnacentral:siRNA from 1 species
AAGCACAAGUCACUCCACCAAUA